AUGGCCCAUGGUCCAGUUGCGGCUCAUGCUCAAGGCACGGUCGAGGCUGGUGUUGGGUUGGUAGGUGGUCGUGGCCGUGGCCAUGGGCGUUCUGCUGGUCGUCGUGGACGAGCCACUGGCUGUGGAGGUUCUAAUAUAGGGCGUGCCCCUAUUUCUGAUAAUGUCGCUGCUUGCCGAGUGCCUGACGCUGGAGCUGAGCCUCUUGACAGGCGUAGGGGUGUGAGUCGGCGGGUGCCUGCUGCUGGAGCUGAGCCUAUCGCCAGGCGUGGGCGUGGCGCUCGGCAGGUGCCUGCCGCUGGGCGUGGCGCCAUGCCUCAACCAAGUGGUAGGGAGCCAAGUGGUAGCGGUGUUCGUGGCCAUGUCCCUGGUCGUGGUGCUGAUUCUGGGAAUGCAGCCGCUGCUGUUGUCCCUGGUGGGGCUGCUGGUCCUAGGUUCACCGCCGCUCCUAGGCGUGCGGCGGUCCCUGGGAUUGCUAGACGUUACGUGCCAUGUCAGCCUGUUGGGUGUCCUCCUCGAAGCCGUACAAGUGAUGGCUGGUUCCCUUUUCUGAGCUCGACCGUGGCUGCGAGAUUGUUGUCCAAGGGCAUGUGCCAAAGGAUUGGCAAGGUUUCUCGGUCAAGUUUGCCGAGUCCCUUAAAGAUAGGUCGUACUACGGCCCUCCGGAUUUCUUGUGCCAAUAAUGUGGUGCCUCCUUUUGGUUUGCUGAGUGUUCAAAGUCCAGGUCAUCCUGGACACAACGAUCCCCCUGCCUAUCUCCGUGAGCUCCUUCGAUUCGAUGGUACUUCUCGUGCUAAAAAAUUCAUCCGGACUAUACGUGAGUACAAGUGUAUGUUCGCUUUCACUUCGAUGGGUGCUACUAUUGAACGCUCGUUUGGUGGCAGCCGUGGACCUAAGAUUUUUAAGAUCAGUGGUCAAGUGUCUCAUCGUAUUGGUUCGUUGGUGCCUAGCGGUGAUGAUACACCUAAGUUUGCUGAGUUGUAUAUACAUGACCCAGCUAAUGAGAUUAGACAUAGGAUGAAUGCCUUAAAUCCAGAUGACAAGCCUACUGGGGGUGUGGAUGAGAGUAUUGUGGUUGGUCUUAGAGACAUGCUUAAUGAGUUUAACCCAUUGGUACAGACCUUUCGGGAGGCGAGUAAGAUGAUAGAGGAUCGUGGUGAUGAACCCAUCGAGGAUAUCUCGAUUCGUAUUAUUGGACCUUCAGAGGGCGAUAGUCCACAGUUUAGUUUGCCUACAACCACUGGGCUUGCUGCUUUAGUUGUCGGUGGUGGCUUCACGUUAGAGGCAUCUUCUCGGAUAUUGUUGUUCGCAGUUGUUCCGACGAGAGGGUUCCAGGUGGAUGUUCCUCACUUGAUUGUUCCUAAAGAAGAUGAUGACGAUGGACCUAUAGAUCCUAAUCCUGCACCUGGAAGUCCGACCGUUGAGGCGUCCUCUUCAUACCCUUCUGGGGGUGGUGAUGCUUCCACAAAUAGUUGGAAUAGGAUGACCAUGCAGGAUUACUAUCGUUUUAUGUGCCAUUACAAGGGUGAUCAGCCCAAUCCAUAUUUAUGUUAUGGUCUCCUCUCCUCCCAGUCGGUUGUUGAUGCACGUGAUGGGUGUGUUGAUGGUGAUGCUCUUGGGAAGAGGACCAUUGUACCUUCCAGUCACAUAGGCGGUCGUCGUUACUUCCAUGAAAAUUUCCAUGAUGGCCUUGCCGUUUGUCGGGUGCACGGUGCGCCUAACAUAUUUACCACUUUCACUUGCAAUCCCAAGUGGCCUGAGAUCACAAGUGCAUUGGAACCAGGUCAGAUGCCUUCUGAUAGGGCGGAUAUUGUUGUUAGGGUCUAUCACAUGAAGCUCACCGAGUACUUGGAUGAGAUUAAGUCAGGCCGGGCUUUUGGCCCCAUUACAGCUGGUAUUGUCAAUGUUGUGCUCUAUAUGGCGAUGACUGAUCUACAGGCUUUUGUUGUGGGGAACAAGAACCUGACCAUCUGUGUGUCUAACAUAUAUGCUGAGAUUGGUGAGAAGCUUGUGCCUAAGUCUCUUGCUGUGAAGCUUGUGGUUGGCAUGACUUUCAAGCAUUCAAUUCUUGUGAGGGUGGAGUUGGAGAAGGUGGGGCGUCAGAGCAGAGCCAGUUGCAGCAUCCACGACCUCCUCGGGCAUGACCAAUCCUGCCAGAUUGACCAGGUUGCGGGGUUUGGUCAGCAAUUGAGAUCCACCACUGAUGACAGCAGUCUGCUACCCUGCUCCUGUGAAGCUCACCGAAGGCCUGCCCCUCCCACCGUGGUAUCCUCUCUCAGCUUGCACCUCUUCAUGUGA
rnacentral:rRNA from 1 species